rnacentral:rRNA from 1 species
AAUUUUGGACAAUGGGGGAAACCCUGAUCCAGCCAUCCCGCGUGUAUGAUGAAGGCCUNCUGGUUNUNAAGUACUUUUUGCAGAGNCGAAAAGGUAUCUCCUAAUACGAGAUACUGCUGACGGUAUCUGCAGAAUAAGCACCGGCUAACUACGUGACAGCAGCCGCGGUAAUACGUAGGGUGCAAGCGUUAAUCGGAAUUACUGGGCGUAAAGCGUGUGUAGGCGGUUCGGAAAGAAAGCUGUGAAAACCCAGGGAUCAACCUUGGAACUGCAUUUUUAACAGCCGAGCUAGAGUAUGUCAGAGGGGGGUAGAAUUCCACGUGUAGCAGUGAAAUGCGUAGAUAUGUGGAGGAAUACCGUUGGCGAAGGCAGCCCCCUGGGAUAAUACUGACGCUCAGACACGAAAGAGUGGGGAGCAAACAGG